rfam:Ictidomys tridecemlineatus contig115239, whole genome shotgun sequence.
GGGGUGGCUCAGUGGGAGAGCACAUGCCUAGCACGUGUGAGGCCCUGGGGUCAAUCCCAGCCCC